GGAAGGGUGGCUGAGUGGUUGAAAGCGGCGGCCUCGAAAGCCGUUGAAGGUGCAUGCCUUCCGCGAGUUCGAAUCUCGCCCCUUCCGCCA
rnacentral:tRNA from 1 species